rnacentral:lncRNA from 1 species
CACGGAUAACACAACAUGUAAGUUCUUUGACUCCACUAGUGAGAAUGUUAGGAUUAAUUAAAAUUCAUUAUGAAUAAUUGGAUAAAUAUUGUCAAGUAGCUGAAGACCAAACCUGAGCCUUAACAUGGGAUACUAAUUGCAGAAAAUGCUGAUAUACAAAGAAUGGGAGAUGUAAGGUGCAGUCCACAAUAAAAGCGGACAUCUGCAUUUCAACUAAUAAUCAAAAGGACACUUUCAGAAAUCCAUUACUCUUGACAUUGUCAUGAAAGCUCAUUUUCACCACCUAAAGCCACUCAGCCUCUACAAGAGGUGUUUUCCCAGAGGGAUUCAUCCAGUAGGUUUGCUUACAAUACAGCCCACAGACCUGACUCUGACCAAAACGUGACUGGAAGGCAAUAAAGCUUCCUAUUACAAUCCCAAAGGACAAAUGUUUGAAAGUCAGGUUGAAUUCCUUUCUCUGAUUCCUGUCUGAGAGUCAAUUCCUGAUUGCAGUAUUUGUACAUUUCUGUAGGGCUUCAUGUUCCUUCAUUCCUGUGGCAACGAACCUUUGCAGUACAAGCUUUCAGCAGUAUACCAAUAUCCAGAGUUGCCAGUCAAACUGUCAAAAAUCUGUUGGAUGCAUUUCUUCAAGGAAAAGCAUUUUUCUCUUCCUUUCCCAGCUUGGUGUGCAUAGCUGGAGAACCCUGUCAUCCAUUGUAGUGUACAGUUCCCAGUGGAAAGUGUCUCCUUACCCUUCUGACAGAAGGUUGUGUGCUGGUCCUGGCUGGGGUAGAGAUAAUCUCUGCAGGUGCCAGCUUCAGCUCAACUGCAACAGGUUGUUCAAGAGCAGUACCAGACACGAAAAAAACACACUGCAACUUACAAAAACAGAGCAUUUGGGGGCAAAUGCAUGCAUUGGGGCAAGACGAGGGCCAUUUGGUAACCCACGUGUGAUGUCUUUUGUUAAAUCCAGUCACCUGCAUCAGUUUGCUGCCUUCUGAUCUCUUGAGUACUGUCCACGGUAUGUAUCACACUAAGGCCAGAGAGCUUGAAAGGACAGCUUUUAACUCAUCUGUUUCCUGCUGGUGCAAUUGUAAG